CCUACGGGUGACAGCAGUGGGGAAUAUUGGGCAAUGGAGGAAACUCUGACCCAGCAAUGCCGCGUGAAUGAAGAAGGUCUUCGGAUUGUAAAGGUCUUUAGUCAGGGAAGAAGUCAAUGACGGUACCUGAAGAAUAAGCUCCGACUAACUUCGUGGCAGCAGCCGCGGUAAUACGUAGGGAGCAAGCGUUGUGCGGAAUGACUGGGAGUAAAGGGUGCGUAGGCGGUUGUACAAGUUAGAAGUGAAAUACCCAGGGCUUAACUCGGGUGCUGCUUCUAAAACUGUAUGACUUGAGUGCAGUAGAGGUUAGUGGAAUUCCUAGUGUAGCGGUGGAAUGCGUAGAUAUUAGGAGGAACACCAGAGGCGAAGGCGGCUAACUGGACUGCAACUGACGCUGAGGCACGAAAGUGUGGGGAGCAAACAGGAUUAGAUACCCGGGUAGUC
rnacentral:rRNA from 1 species